rnacentral:rRNA from 1 species
GAUGAACGCUAGCUACAGGCUUAACACAUGCAAGUCGAGGGGUAACGAGAGGAAAGCUUGCUUUCCUUGUCGACGACCGGCGCACGGGUGAGUAACGCGUAUCCAACCUGCCCCCAACUAAGGAAUAACCUUGCGAAAGUAAGACUAAUACCUUAUAAUUUCCUCAGAUGUCAUCUGACGAGGAAUAAAGAUUUAUCGGUUGUGGAUGGGGAUGCGUCUGAUUAGCUUGUUGGCGGGGUAACGGCCCACCAAGGCAACGAUCAGUAGGGGUUCUGAGAGGAAGGUCCCCCACAUUGGAACUGAGACACGGUCCAAACUCCUACGGGAGGCAGCAGUGAGGAAUAUUGGUCAAUGGGCGAAAGCCUGAACCAGCCAAGUAGCGUGCAGGAUGGCGGCCCUAUGGGUUGUAAACUGCUUUUAUACAGGAAUAAAGUUAGCCACGUGUGGUUAUUUGUAGGUACUGUAUGAAUAAGGACCGGCUAAUUCCGUGCCAGCAGCCGCAGUAA